CCCUUAGAGGUCCUGGGCCGCACGCGCGCUACACUGAUGCAUUCAACGAGUAUUUCCUUGGCCGAGAGGCCUGGGCAAUCUUUUAAACCUGCAUCGUGAUAGGGAUAGAUUAUUGCAAUUAUUAAUCUUGAACGAGGAAUUCCUAGUAAACGCAAAUCAUCAAUUUGCAUUGAUUACGUCCCUGCCCUUUGUACACACCGCCCGUCGCACCUACCGAUUGAAUGGUCCGGUGAAAUCUCGGGAUUGUGGCCAGUUCACUUUAUUGGGAGUUGGCUGCGAGAACUUGCUUAAACCUUAUCAUUUAGAGGAAGGUGAAGUCGUAACA
rnacentral:rRNA from 1 species